UUUCGUAGUUUAGAAAUUCAAUAUUUCGAAUUUGAAUUCACACCCGAACAAAGCAAAUCAGCUUAACUAAUCUUGUCUCAACAUCCUGGAUCUGGCAAUCAGCCAACCAACAUUAAAUCGAUACAACCGCAGCAGUACCAACAACUCCAAAUCCAGCAACAGCCAACAACCCCUCAAAAAAGGAUCACAUAGCAAUUACUGCUCAAACGAACAACAGGAGUUUACGAAUGAUGGACACAUCGGAAAACAUUUCAUCGGCACAUUCUGCCUUAAAACUUGUCUGCCACUAUUUUUACCAGCGGUUGCCUUCCUGAUUUAGAGAAAUCGGAGGCAAGCACAAACGUCAUAUUCCAGCCUUGGUUCCUACCAGUUCCUUGCAUAAAAAUAUCACGGACGGAGGCUCGCGAAAUUUUGACAGGUUGCAAUGAAAAAAUAUAAGAAAACACAAGAUUGGUAAUUUUUUGUAUUUUUUUCAUCGCAACCUGUCAAAAUUUCGUAGUUUAGAAAUUCAAUAUUUCGAAUUUGAAUGCACACCCGAACAAAGCAAAUCAGCUUAACUAAUCUUAUCUCAACAUCCUGGAUCUGGCAAUCAGCCAACCAACAUUAAAUCGAUACAACCGCAGCAGUACCAACAACUCCAAAUCCAGCAACAGCCAACAACCCCUCAAAAAAGGACCACAUAGCAAUUACUGCUCAAACGAACAACAGGAGUUUACGAAUGAUGGACACAUCGGAAAACAUUUCAUCGGCACAUUCUGCCUUAAAACUUGUCUGCUACUAUUUUUACCAGCGGUUGCCUUCCUGAUUUAGAGAAAUCGGAGUCAAGCACAAACGUCAUAUUCCAGCCUUGGUUCCUACCAGUUCCUUGCAUGAAAAUAUCACUGCCUCCACAGUGCUCGUGAUUCCAUUCCAGCAGCAGCAAGCAAUCACUAUUCGAGUGCUAAUCGCCAACAUUUCACAGCAAGCUCAGCAGCAGAACCACCAUCAUCCUAAAGGUCGGUAGCAAUAACGUUCAACCGGCGGUACAACCUGGUCAGCAACCGCAAUUAGUGCAAUAGAUCCAAGCCAAAUGUAGGAGACCAUUGACCAACUGCAAAAAAGAUAGCAACAGCACAUUCAAACACAGUAGCAGCAGCAUACUAUACUGUACCAUGCGGUGUGCAGGAGGACUUUUUGAUUCAGUUGGUGCGGCAGGAUCGAACACCAACAACAUAAUGUCAUGGUAAUCACCCAGCAAGAGAACGCAGUGAUAAUGGGCAAACAGAAAACACAACAUCAAGAUGCUCGGGAAGGACUUUCUCUUUCGAACAAACAUAAUGGCACGUCAUGUUCAAUCGGCUAACCGUUUGGAAUAAGCGCUCAUCAUCGGUUUCAUGGCAGUGAAGUGAGCAGGCAAAAGAAGGCAUCUUUUUUUCCGGAAGGUCGCUCUGGUCAAAAUUUCAGCGAAUUGCAAGGAAUAAACCACCCGAGGGACAGUACCCGUGCUGAUUCAGGACGAUUUCCCAUACUUUGUACCUUGCUAUUGAAUUUUAAUACCCGAUCGAAACGAUGGCAAGCGCUGCCGAUAACUGGGUCAAAAAGACGACGGAUCAAGAAAUUUCUGCACUCGGUUAGCGAACUGAGUACAUAUCACCAAGG